rnacentral:rRNA from 1 species
UACCAAGGCUACGAUCCGUAGCUGGUCUGAGAGGAUGAUCAGCCACACUGGGACUGAGACACGGCCCAGACUCCUACGGGAGGCAGCAGUGGGGAAUAUUGCACAAUGGGCGAAAGCCUGAUGCAGCCAUGCCGCGUGUGUGAAGAAGGCUCUAGGGUUGUAAAGCACUUUCAGUAGGGAGGAACAGCUUAAGACUAAUACUCUUGAGCCUUGACGUUACCUACAGAAGAAGCACCGGCAAACUCCGUGCCAGCAGCCGCGGUAAUACGGAGGGUGCGAGCGUUAAUCGGAAUUACUGGGCGUAAAGCGCGCGUAGGUGGUUUGAUAAGCUAGCUGUGAAAGCCCCGGGCUCAACCUGGGAACUGCAGUUAGAACUGUCUGGCUAGAGUACAGUAGAGGGUGGCGGAAUUUCCUGUGUAGCGGUGAAAUGCGUAGAUAUAGGAAGGAACAUCAGUGGCGAA